UUCUAAUAGAAUUCAUUAUUAGUAUUAUCUGCUCAAUGAUAAUAAAUAGCCGCAAUUACAUUGUGCUAAGGUAGCAUAAUCAUUAGUCUUUUAAUUAAAGACCAGCACGAAAGAUCCAACAUUUUAAUUUCUAUUAUAUAUAAAUUUAUUAAAAUUAUUUUAAAUGUAAAAAAACAUUUAUACAAAAAAGAGACAACAAGACCCUAUUGAACUUUACUUUAGUUUAACUGGGGCAGUUAAUUAAUUAAAAUUUUAAUUUACACUAAAUACCCAAUUGACCCGAUUUAAUCGAUUAUAUAAUCAAGUUACCAUAGGGAUAACAGCGUAAUAAUUUUCUAAAGAUCUUAUUUAAAAAAUUGAUUGCGACCUCGAUGUUGAAUAAUUAUCUAUUUAAUGCAAUAAUUAAAAAAGAAAGUCUGUUCGACUUUUAAAUAAUUACA
rnacentral:rRNA from 1 species